rnacentral:lncRNA from 1 species
AAAAAUCCCAUUUCAUUUUGCAUGGUUACAAAUUCUUACCCUUCUCUUUUGCUCGAAUACAUUAUAUUGCAGAUGAAUUCAAUGAUCAUUUUAAUCCACAAAUUAUCAAAAUAUCAAGUCUUUCUGCUACUACCCAUGAUAACACACCACCUUUUCAGCAGGUACGCGCGGACGUCCUCGCCCUCGUCGUCGACGUCGCCACCGAUGACGAGGUCCGCGCCGCUCACCAGCUUGCACGCUUCAUCGUCAUCGACACUCACCACCUCGAUCCGGCCGUUGCACCGCCUGGCGACGUCCUCCCACCUUGGUCCUCCCUCCCAGCGAGCGGACGAUGAGGCCGAG